rnacentral:tRNA from 1 species
GGUCCCAUAGCUCAGUAGGAUAGAGCGCAGGAUUCCUAAUCCUGAGGCCGUUGGUUCGAAUCCAACUGGGAUCACCA